AAAUUGAAGAGUUUGAUCAUGGCUCAGAUUGAACGCUGGCGGCAGGCCUAACACAUGCAAGUCGAACGGUAACAGGAAGAAGCUUGCUUCUUUGCUGACGAGUGGCGGACGGGUGAGUAAUGUCUGGGAAACUGCCUGAUGGAGGGGGAUAACUACUGGAAACGGUAGCUAAUACCGCAUAACGUCGCAAGACCAAAGAGGGGGACCUUCGGGCCUCUUGCCAUCGGAUGUGCCCAGAUGGGAUUAGCUUGUUGGUGGGGUAACGGCUCACCAAGGCGACGAUCCCUAGCUGGUCUGAGAGGAUGACCAGCCACACUGGAACUGAGACACGGUCCAGACUCCUACGGGAGGCAGCAGUGGGGAAUAUUGCACAAUGGGCGCAAGCCUGAUGCAGCCAUGCCGCGUGUAUGAAGAAGGCCUUCGGGUUGUAAAGUACUUUCAGCGGGGAGGAAGGGAGUAAAGUUAAUACCUUUGCUCAUUGACGUUACCCGCAGAAGAAGCACCGGCUAACUCCGUGCCAGCAGCCGCGGUAAUACGGAGGGUGCAAGCGUUAAUCGGAAUUACUGGGCGUAAAGCGCACGCAGGCGGUUUGUUAAGUCAGAUGUGAAAUCCCCGGGCUCAACCUGGGAACUGCAUCUGAUACUGGCAAGCUUGAGUCUCGUAGAGGGGGGGUAGAAUUCCAGGUGUAGCGGUGAAAUGCGUAGAGAUCUGGAGGAAUACCGGUGGCGAAGGCGGCCCCCUGGACGAAGACUGACGCUCAGGUGCGAAAGCGUGGGGAGCAAACAGGAUUAGAUACCCUGGUAGUCCACGCCGUAAACGAUGUCGACUUGGAGGUUGUGCCCUUGAGGCGUGGCUUCCGGAGCUAACGCGUUAAGUCGACCGCCUGGGGAGUACGGCCGCAAGGUUAAAACUCAAAUGAAUUGACGGGGGCCCGCACAAGCGGUGGAGCAUGUGGUUUAAUUCGAUGCAACGCGAAGAACCUUACCUCUGGUCUUGACAUCCACAGAACUUUCCAGAGAUGGAUUGGUGCCUUCGGGAACUGUGAGACAGGUGCUGCAUGGCUGUCGUCAGCUCGUGUUGUGAAAUGUUGGGUUAAGUCCCGCAACGAGCGCAACCCUUAUCCUUUGUUGCCAGCGGUCCGGCCGGGAACUCAAAGGAGACUGCCAGUGAUAAACUGGAGGAAGGUGGGGAUGACGUCAAGUCAUCAUGGCCCUUACGACCAGGGCUACACACGUGCUACAAUGGCGCAUACAAAGAGAAGCGACCUCGCGAGAGCAAGCGGACCUCAUAAAGUGCGUCGUAGUCCGGAUUGGAGUCUGCAACUCGACUCCAUGAAGUCGGAAUCGCUAGUAAUCGUGGAUCAGAAUGCCACGGUGAAUACGUUCCCGGGCCUUGUACACACCGCCCGUCACACCAUGGGAGUGGGUUGCAAAAGAAGUAGGUAGCUUAACCUUCGGGAGGGCGCUUACCACUUUGUGAUUCAUGACUGGGGUGAAGUCGUAACAAGGUAACCGUAGGGGAACCUGCGGUUGGAUCACCUCCUUACCUUAAAGAAGC
rnacentral:rRNA from 1 species